CUGACACCUCCGCUCUGCUAAUACAGGUUGUGUGUGUGUGUAAAAAUGUGUUUUGCAGAAAGUCCUCAAAGGGAACGCCACUGAAGGUGUGUGCUGCAGUUCCUUACUCUGAUCCAAAGAUGGUGCUGUUCUCUCUCUCUCUCUCUCUCUCUCUCUCUCAUGGAACUAACUGCUUGUAACAGCAACUCCAUGUGGAAUGUGUGUGUGUGAACUCCAGUGGAGCUGCUGUUACUUGCAGAGAGUCACCCCUGACCCCUGACCCCUUUCAGUGCAACCUUCAGCUGAGCCACAGUCUAAUAAGUCUGUACAAUCUCACAGUAUUUGUUAAUGGCUAAUAGCUAACAUUCAUGACUACAGUAUCUCGUUGCUGUCUGCUAAGAGCAUAAUGAAUUUGUGAAGUGUUCUUUGGUUGCUUUGUGAUUUUGGAUGCAGCAUGUGUGCUAUACUCUCUAUGUUACUAACAGUGUGAGUGUGGGGCAAUACCAGCGGCUCGGUGGGGCAGUACCAGUGACUCGGUGGGGCUGCAGUGGUGACUCAAGGUGCUGCAUUACUGCUCAGCAGGGCAGGGGUUUAAGUCCCAUCACCACUAAACUGCUCCUGCUGGGCUCUUGGUUAUGGCUGUUAGCUCUCUGCACUCCUUAACAAGCUGUGAAGAAAAGAAUUUCUAUAUGAUAUAUAUCAUCUUGCUAUAAUGUAUAUGUGACAAAUAAAGGCUUUUUCCUCUAACAAACACUGACCAAUCAGAGACACUGAGAAUAUGUAUUUGUGCAUAUAUUUGCAUAUUAAUCAGUAGAUACUUCUGAUUGGGUGGCUGGGUGAUGACCUAUGAAUUGACAGCCAGUAUUUUCAGUUGGACUGCCUGUCAGUUCUGUAGGCCACUGCCCCGCCCACCUUCACACACACAAGAUUGAGUUAUCAUUGUGUUUGUGUCAUUUGUGUAUUAAAUUGUGUAUUGAGACACAGCCUGUGUGUGUAACGUUCUGUCACUUUAUGUAGUUUUAUUUAUGUAUAGAAUUUUGUUCAAAUAACCAAUAUGUUUGGAGUCUGUUUAUUAGAUUAAAUCUACAUUACUUCCCGUGUAUUUAAUAAAACCUGUACACUUUUCUGUCAAGACAGAUUAGAGAGUGAGCUUGGUUAUUAGAACAGAGCCUGAGUUCAUAUAACAGGGAAAAUGAGUGCUUGGAAACCUUUGAAAACUUGAAUGUUGGAAAAAGAAAUCUGAAAAGUGAAAACUAAUAAACAUGUUCUGGGAGCA